UACGUAGGGUGCAAGCGUUAAUCGGAAUUACUGGGCGUAAAGCGUGCGCAGGCGGUUUUGUAAGUCUGUCGUGGAAUCCCCGGGCUCAACCUGGGAAUUGCGAUGGAGACUGCAAGGCUAGAAUCUGGCAGAGGGGGGUAGAAUUCCACGUGUAGCAGUGAAAUGCGUAGAGAUGUGGAGGAACACCGAUGGCGAAGGCAGCCCCCUGGGUCAAGAUUGACGCUCAUGCACGAAAGCGUGGGGAGCAAACGAGG
rnacentral:rRNA from 1 species